UGAGCAGCUCAGCCCUCUGCUUUCUGCAAAAAUGGCUCAGAAGACGUUUUUCUACUUCGCCAUUUUCUCAGCAUUCUUCACACUCACUUCACUCUCCCGCACCCUACCCGAAUCCGAAACCGCCACCUUCCUCGACGUCUCCUCCUCCCUCCGCAAAGCCCACGCUGUCCUCUCCUUCGAUCCGGAGUCCCUCCAACCGCUGGAAUCCCAAUCCCAGGAAUCCCAACCCCUCAACUCCUCCGCCUUCUCCCUCCAGCUCCACCCCCGCGACGUCCUCUUCAAUUCCCAGCACAAGGACUACAAAUCCCUCACCCUCACCAGACUCGGCCGCGACUCGGCCCGAGUGAACUCGCUCCACACCAAGCUCCAGCUGGCGCUCCAGGGGAUAAAAAGAGGGGAUCUCGAGCCCAUGCACGCCGAGAUCCAACCCCAGGACCUCUCCACCCCGGUCGUCUCCGGCGUCAGCCAGGGCAGCGGCGAGUACUUCUCCCGGAUCGGCGUCGGGACUCCGGCGAAGUCGUUCUACAUGGUGCUCGACACCGGCAGCGACGUCAACUGGCUCCAGUGCGGCCCCUGCUCCGAUUGCUACCAGCAAUCUGACCCGAUUUUCAACCCGGCCGGAUCUUCCACCUACAGCCAGCUCACGUGCGAUGCGCCGCAAUGCCAGGCCCUCCAGGUGUCCGGCUGCCGCGCCAAUAAGUGCCUCUAUCAGGUGUCGUACGGCGACGGAUCCUACACCGUCGGCGAUUACGUCACUGAAACGCUGUCGUUUGGGAGCUCGGGUUCGAUUAACAAAAUCGCGUUGGGAUGCGGACACGAUAAUGAGGGAUUAUUUGUCGGGGCCGCCGGGUUGUUGGGCCUGGGUGGCGGGCCCUUGUCACUAAGAGUGAAUUUGGACGAAAAUUGGUUUUAUCUUGACUCAAAACACUGAAAAACACAAACUAAAACAGUUUCUAACAAAUAUGACUCAACAAAGUAAAGGGGGAUUUGGUUUUGACGAAUUUGAAAGUAAAACAAACAUAUUGUAAACUAAAACAAAGUUUGGAUGAAAUUGGGUAAAUUGGAUGGAUGAUGGGCUAGCUAGAGGGUUCUUCUCCACACAUGACACACUUGCAUACAAAUCGAUUUCCAGUUGUUUCUUUCAAUAAACCAUAAAUAUCAACACCCCAGAUUUAUUAGGUACGCUUAAAUUAACACUCAGAUUUUCCUUAUGUCAUUGAAUUGGACGGAAAUAGCACAUCGCAAUCAAAUUAUUCUUCAAAAGUUCCCUACAUGAAAGCGCAUAAUAGAGAUACAAUCAAAGAUCAUUAAGUUCUAUGAAAAUCAUAAGUAUUGACAAGGCAUUCGUAACUAUGAAAGCGCAUGAUACUUAUACCAGAAAUUUACUUAACACGAUUGUGACUAGCAACCUCCACUACUUAUGAAUAUAAGUUCAUAACGAUUAGGUGAAACUCCCUUAUAUCCUAGCAUCAAAUUUAUGCAUGCAAAUUAAGUGUGCAUUCUCAACCCACAUACACAAACAAGUUUUAAUUCAAACAGAUAAGUAAAUUGAAUUCACAAUUUAUGAAAUUACAACUGGAUGUAAUCAAAUCAUAUUGCAAGUAUAGUCAUGGUUUCGAAAUUCCCCCUAGCUAAGAGGGGUUUAGUUCCUCAUACUCGCAAAACAAAGAUUAUUAAACUUAAACAUUGAAAACAAAAGAAAGAUUACACCUAAAAACGGUCCAGCAACUUUAACUUGAAUGGCAAACACGUCCAAGGGCUCUCCUUCUUCUUCUUUGCUACGGAACAAGGUAUGGUUGAUGAUUUUUGUGGUGAAUUGUGGUGGUGGAUGAGUGAUGGGUGAUGAAAGUGUAUGGGUGGGGCGGAGCAUGAAUGAUGUGUUUUUGGAGUGAAUGAAUUCGUAGAAUUGUAUGAAGAGUGCGGUUGGAUGUGUGUAUUGGAGAAUGUAUGGCAAGAAUGAUGUAUUUUUGUGCGGCAAAGGGAAGUAUUUAAGGUUUUAGGAAAUCAAAACCCUAACUUAGGUUAACAGAAAUUAAGUCAAAACUACUAAAAAAAGGAAAACAAAAUCAAAAAUCAAAGGAAAGAGUAAGAAGAUAUGCGGUAAGGCUUUUAAUUAAAAAGGGAAUGUGAUCUGGUGCAGGAAAUAGGAAAGAAAAGCUUUCCCUUGCACGACAAGGAAGAGAAAGGGACAAGGGAGGUGUGGCAAGGGGUUUAGGACUUCUAGAAGUUCUUAUUUAGUGUCUUAAUAUGAUUAGGAGUUUUCUUUGUUGCUGGAACUUAAGUACUUUUAGGAUUAGGAAAGGUUAAAACCAAAGUAGAAAACCUUGGCUUAACAUUCCUUCUUCUUGUAGGAAUCCUUAUGUAAGUAGAAAUCCUCAUCUUUUAGGAAUCCAUCUUCAAUUAGGAAUCCUUUUUCUUUUUCAAUUAGGAAUCCUAGCAUCUUUAGGUCUUCAAUUUCGUCCAUCUCCCUUGCUCCAAGCAUGUGAUAUCCAUUCAAGCCCAAAACUGUUCCAAAAUGCUCUAAAAUGCACUUUCUUGCCUCCUUAGCCCUUUGGACCUACAAACACAUUAAAAUAGCUUAAAAUACUAAAAUAACUAAGAAACUAACAACAUAAAUGCAAGAAAACAAGCUAACUAAGUCGCCUAAAUAUGCUCCUAUCAUAAAGCGUGGUCGUUUGGACUCUAGAUGUGAAACGAGAUCCCGUUCCUCCUAAGAAGGAUAAGGAAGAGAUUUUGGAGCCUAAAGUUCCAUACCUAAGUGCAAUUGGGGCUUUAUUAUACUUAGCUCAAUGCACUGGACCCGAUAUUUCCUUCGCUGUUAAUCUUUUGGCUAGAUACAGCAAUGUGCCUACGCGCAGACACUGGAAUGGUGUGAAAGACAUUUUCCGCUACCUCAAGGGUAUGACAGAUUUGGGCUUGUUCUACAGCCACGAAUCCUCGAGAGGAGCCACUGUCCCCCUCAAUUCUCGGGUUGAUUCCCGCUUUGUUGGUUACACAGAUGCUGGAUAUCUGUCUGACCCACAUAGGGCACAUUUUCAAGCAGGCUGUAUCUUCACCAUUAAAGACACUGCUAUAUCUUAGAGGUCUACCAAGUAAAAGCUAGUUGCCACUUCUUCGAACCAUGUUGAGAUUCUCGCCCUGCAUAAAGCAUCGCGUUAGAGUUUUUUGGUUGAGGCAGUCAUGGAACAUAUUCGAAGCACUAAUGGUCUUAUUUCCAUCAUUGACAUUCCUACAACAAUCUUUAAAGACAAUGUAGCAUCUAUCAUGCAGUAAAGAAGGAUACAUUAAGGAAGAUAAAACCAACACAUAGCGCCGAAGUUUUUUAUUCUCACCAUCAGCAACAUCAUCAAAACAUUGAAGUCAAGCAAAUCCGUUCCCAAGACAACCUGGCUGAUCUCUUUACCAAGUCAUUGCCCAAGUCUACUUUUCAAAAACUCGUCUAAUGAUUCGAUGUGCGUAAAUUAUCUAAGUUGAAUCGCUUGUAGUUCUCUUAUUUGGAAGUUAUGUCUAACUCAGUGGGAAUAUCCUGAAGCAUACUCACUUGGUCUUAAUAUACUUUUUUUCCUACGAUUAUGCGCAUUUUUCCCACUGGGUUUUUGCUACCUAACGAGGUUUUGAUGAGGCACCCAUCCUAGGAUGAUCAUACUCCGUUGAGUUCACUACUUUCGUCCUAUUUGACGUUUGUUUAGACAUUAUGCAUGAUUCUCACUUUUCUCCUUAGUCUAUGGGUUUUUACCUACCUUAGGUUUUACCAUAGUGAGGUUUUGUGAGUUUUACCACCAAUGCAUACUUUCUUUAAAUUUGAGACUCGCAUUCACAUUAAUUGUUCUACCUUAUCUGCUGAAGAUCUGAUGCAAUGUUUUGUUUAAGUAUUUACACACUCAAGGAGGAGUGUCGCAGUCAUACUUAGAAUAGGAAUGUGAUUGUGUAAAUCCUAACGAAUCUAGGGAUAUCUUUGAACCUUGGUAGUUAAAUAUCUAUUAGAGUUGUAAUCCUAAAAGGAUAAGUAUUCUACAUAUCCUAUUACUAUAAAUAAAAGCACAAUGAGGUGAUACAACACAUACCUCACAAUUGAAUCUCUCUCUUUUCUCUCUUAUUGUUGUCGGCCUCCCUUUGUUUAUUCCUUUAAAAUACUUCAGUUAAAUAGUCCUACAACACCAAUAACCGUAUGGGCCUAAAACACUAAAAAAACAAACCUCAUUUUUUUAUCCUUUUCUUUUCUUCAUUGAUCAAGUGGGUUUGGCUGCAUGGUGUGAGUACGAGACUACGAUAAAGUGCAAGGCCAAGAUGAACUUGAUCCGAGUGUGGGUUCUUGGAUCUGAGCUUCAUCAAAACAAAUAGUGGACAGUCAACUAGAUGAUGAUGGAUCGAAGUUGAAGGUGGGUUCAGGCAGCAGCAGAUGGUGGUGGGCCAACAUGUUGCAAGCUUGACUUGGUGGCGUGAUGACUAUGCAGUGGAAGGUUUAGGCAUAAAGUGAGGUGUGAAUAUUAUGUGAGGAAUAGUGUGAAUAAGGGCUGAUUUGUUUGGCAACAAGGUUUGGGGUGAGUCAGAUACGGUGGCGGUGAUACAGGUACGGCAAGUGCAGCAGUGGAGUCAGCGGGCCUAGGGGUUCAAUGAACAGCGAUGAAAUUGAUUUAAACAACGCGAGGCAUGACAAUGUUUCAGCAACCUUUUUUUUUAAUAUCAAACUAAACCUAAACCUAAACGACAAUAGAAGCAACAAACAUAUGAAACUGAUAACAACCCAAAGCAGAUUAUUCAGAAUGAUUGAACCUGUUCUGAUACCAAGUUGAAAAUCAGAGACCAACAAUAUAAAAAUAAAGAAGAAAUAUUUUAUUAACUGAAAAUAGACAUUGUCGAGACAACGACAUUACUCGAAUUGACUACAUCUUGACUAUCUUAUUUUCUACGAGUUAACAAAGCUCUCUUUUUAUAAUAAAGUAACUAUAAUCCUUAAUAAGUAAGGAAACAAAAACCUAAUUCUAACGUACUAGGCCCAAAUUCAAAUAAUAAAACAAAUAACUAAUUUUCCAACAAUCUUAGGGGUAUACGUGUACUUUCAUAUCAACUUUUGGCUUUGAUUAUCAUUAAUUUAAAAUAGUGGUAUAAUUCUAUAAGAGUGUUAUAAACUUUGUAUUUAAGUAUGAUUGUGCAAAUCCUAGAUUAUAUUUGAUUCUAGUUAUUCUUCCCUAUUAGGACUUGUAUUCCUUGGAAAAGAAGGAAUCCUCCCUCCCUUAUUACUAUAAAUAAAGGCAUGAGAAUAACACAACCUCUACACAAUCCUACAAACACACAUCUCUCUCUAUUUUCUCUCUAUGCCUUCCGCCCCCUCUCUUCCCGUGAGAUAAAAUAAGCCAUCACAAAGAAGUCUAAUUUUUAGUUAUUUUUCCAAAUUUCCCUCCUAUUUUUAUCCCCUCCCAUCCUCUCUUUUAAAUCUAGUCUGUUCAAAAUAAACUUGAUGUCUUAAAGAUGUGCCACAUAUUUCAUGUUAUUUUUUUAUUUCUUUGGUUUAACAAUCUUCCUUCUUAUCAACUCAUGUCCACACCAACUUUUACCUUCCUCUUGCAUGCUUGUUACUGUUGACACCUCAAGUAAAUCUUGACGCCGUGGCAAAACUUGACAGUUAUCUCAAAAGUCUUAUGGCGCGUUUACGUAAGGGUAAUCAGAAUCAAGAAACGGAAUUGAAUUCCGAUUACGGUAUACUCCGGUGUUUACUAAAUCUGGAAGAAUUAAAAAUUUAGUGGGUCCCACACAAAUUUUGGAAUCCAAUUCCAAUAUUUGGCUGAUUUGGAUUCCUAAGAUAAAGGAGGUAUUUGGAUUCCAGAUGGCUUGGGGAAUCAGAAUGCUAACUUUUUUCCUUUUAUGCCCUCACCUACUUUCAUUAUUUCCAAGAUUAUCCUUUUAACCCUAGACUAUUAUUUCCCUUUUCAUGCAGCUCCGUUCUGGAACGGUUAGUUGAUUAAUUCAGUCGACCUAGAGUAAAUUCAAUUGAUCUAAAGUAACUCUGUAAAUACAUGCAGAAUCAUUUUGUUACUCAAUGUAGAAUCAGUUUGUUACUUCAUGCAGAAUCAGUUUGUUACUCAAUGCAGAAUCAGUUUGUUACUCAAUGCAAAAUCAGUUUGUUACUAUUAUAUACUAUAUCAAAUUUUAUUAAAAAAAAAGUAUAUAAAAUAUUUGAUUUGGGACAAGGGCAUUUUAGUAAUCAUACUGGUUUAUUUCCCUUUUCAUGCAGCUCCGUUCUGGAACAGUUAGUUGAUUAAUUCAGUCGACCUAGAGUAAAUUCAAUUGAUCUAAAGUAACUCUAUAAAUACAUGCAGAAUCAUUUUGUUACUCAAUGCAGGAUCAGUUUGUUACUUCAUGCAGAAUCAGUUUGUUACUCAAUGCAGAAUCAGUUUGUUACUAUUAUAUACUAUAUCAAAUUUUAUUAAAAAAAAAAGUAUAUAAAAUAUUUGAUUUGGGACAAGGGCAUUUUAGUAAUCAUACUGGUUUAUAUUCCGAUUCUGCUGAAUUAGUAAACAGCUUUAUGGAAUUGUAUUCCGAUUCCAGACAGUUUUAGUAAACAAUUUCAACAGGAAUCUGAUUCUGAUUCCACCUCAUUUCAAUUCCUCCUCAAUCAAAUUCCUCCUCAAUCCGAUUCCUCUCAAUUUGAUUACGGAUUAGUAAACGCGCCAUUAGAGUUAUAGAAGAUCAGAGAGAAUCUUUAGAUUGUAUUACCGUUCUUAUCAAUCUGUUAAACAACCCUCACAUACAUUAUACAACAAAGAGAAGGAAAUGAGAGGGAGAGAAAUAGAAGAAAAUCCUCCAUUAUUUCCUGCCCAACAUAUCACAUCACUAGAUUUACUGGCGAAAACAAUAUUAUCACAAUAGUGUUUAGCACUUAACAUAUCACUUAGUCAGACCAAUCACUCAGACCAUAAAAAAAAUAAAAAAUUAAAAAAAAAAGUCAGACCAAUCACUUGGUCGAUCCAAAAAAGAAGCAUAUUACUAGAUUACUGGUAAACAUUGGACUCAUGCAAAUCCGAAUUCUCGUCUAAUCAUCUUUGUGAGGAUUAUAGAGAUUUGUGAAUCGUAUCUGUUCAUCUUACAUUGUUAAUAAAAAAUUAUUUUAAAUAUUUUUAUUUAAAAUUAAAUAUAAACAGUACCUAAUAAAAAUUAAUCGCACGAUAUACGAAAAACAGAUACAGUUCGCAGAUCUCUAAAAUCCUCACCGAAAAAUUCAGAAAUGAUCUUAUUGGGACUCAUGCAAUCCCCUUCAUUGAGUGCCAAAGUGACAAAAACAAAAAGGAAGAGCGAUAAUGCCACAAAGAAAAGGAGAUGAGAGAGAAGAGAAACAGAAGAAAAUCAUCCAUUAUUUCUUGCCCAACAUAUCACAUCACUAGUUUAUUGGCGAAANNNNNNNNNNNNNNNNNNNNNNNNNNNNNNNNNNNNNNNNNNNNNNNNNNNNNNNNNNNNNNNNNNNNNNNNNNNNNNNNNNNNNNNNNNNNNNNNNNNNNNNNNNNNNNNNNNNNNNNNNNNNNNNNNNNNNNNNNNNNNNNNNNNNNNNNNNNNNNNNNNNNNNNNNNNNNNNNNNNNNNNNNNNNNNNNNNNNNNNNNNNNNNNNNNNNNNNNNNNNNNNNNNNNNNNNNNNNNNNNNNNNNNNNNNNNNNNNNNNNNNNNNNNNNNNNNNNNNNNNNNNNNNNNNNNNNNNNNNNNNNNNNNNNNNNNNNNNNNNNNNNNNNNNNNNNNNNNNNNNNNNNNNNNNNNNNNNNNNNNNNNNNNNNNNNNNNNNNNNNNNNNNNNNNNNNNNNNNNNNNNNNNNNNNNNNNNNNNNNNNNNNNNNNNNNNNNNNNNNNNNNNNNNNNNNNNNNNNNNNNNNNNNNNNNNNNNNNNNNNNNNNNNNNNNNNNNNNNNNNACGCAUCAACAGCAGUUGUAAGGAAGUUAGGCUUUUUUGUUUCUAGGCUUAAACUUGUGGCUUAGGCUUUGUUUUGGGGUCCAUAUUUUCUUUUGGUCUUUUUUGUAUUUGGACCUCAACAACUGUAAAUGUUGUAAAUUUGUGGUUGGUAAUGUAUCUUAUCUGGUGCCCUCUUUGUAGGGUAACCUGUGACAAAAAAAAAAACAAUAAGGAAGUGGAGAUUUUGAGCAUUUGCCUCUUUCAACAAAAACUUUCAAGUUUGAUUCCAUCAAUUUGGUUGUAUUUGGUUUUUACUUUUUUUUACAUGCAGGAGUUGAAAAUAAGUUGGAAACAACUGAAGCUUGUGUUUAGCUCGUCAAAACUCGGCCUGUGAAAAAACAAGCAAAAUCUAUGUCCGGCUAUGAAAAUCUAAAAUCUUCUAAGCUUCCUACUCCGAUCAUCAUCCAAAUCAAUGGUGCAAACUUGAUUUGGUAAUCGUUGGUCAUGCUUCAUUCACUUGAAAAUAUAUAUCCAUAUAUGAUAUGAAAUGAUAUCUACCUCCCAUUUACUGUAAUGUUUUCACAUUCAAAAAUUGACAUAUCGUUUGAUGUGAUUCAUAAAUGAGAAUCUUGAGUUAUUAAUUUUGGUGUCAAUGUCCAUCCGCUCUUUCGAAAUAGCUGCAACAAUAGGAUACCAUUACUACAAGAAUAUUUUUGUUCACUACUUUAAAGUGAUAGUGAUGUUGACCAUCUUAUUUAUUGCUUUCGAAUAAUUUAAAUUUUGAGAUCUGUGUAGUUGAGAGUUACAUAUAUCAAAAUUUAUACUCAUAAAUAUAAAAAUUUAUACUCAUCCAAUAAUAACAAGUAGUCAACAUUACUAUCAAUUAAAGACGAUGAGCAGAAAUACACUCCCAGUACUGCGAUGCAGAAAUUACCAAUACUCUUUCUGCACCGUUGAUUCAUUUUUCAUAUGAGACUGUAGGCAUUCGAGAAACUUGGACUAAUGCGGUAGGUUGGUAAAGCACAAAAAAAUGCUUAUUGCUUAAUUAAACAGAUUAAUCUUUGCUAUCAAUCACUUUAUCCUCUUCGAAUUCUAUUAUUCAACAAGUUAAAUUUAAUCUAAGAAUUAUUAUAUUCGAAAAAUUACUAAAUAAUGUCUUAGUACAUGCGUAUAGGUAUAUGCGUGUUUAUAUAUGUACAUGCAUAAUAUUGUUGUAAGAAUUAUUACAACAAAAUACUACCCUAUGAGGUAUGAGGAGGAGGAGGAUAUCCUAUUGGGAGGCUGAAUUAGGCGAAUAAUAUGGGUCAGUUACUAGUUAAGUAUCGAACUAAACACAAAAAAAUAAUACAUCAUCGUUAUCUAUGUGAGUCGAAUCGAAUUUUAGAAAUCUCACUUAUUGAUAUAGAUAAAUACUACUAAACCGUAAUACUAAUUUUUCUUAAAAUGUGUGCAAUCUUGAAUUUUGUAAUCAUCGAUAACUAACCGAUAAUGUUCAGUAAAAAGACAGAGUAUUGUUGCUCAUCAUCCUAAAUUUUGGUGUAUGAUCACCAUAAACCUAAUCAUGUAAUGCGGUCGAUUCUAACAAUUUAUACAUGCAAUUAUAAAAUUACGUGAAAAAAUAUGUAAGACGAGAAAUAUUGUUUUUGGUGGUAACGCAUAAGUGUUUCUUCAGCUGUACGGAUGUCGAAAGAGAGCCAUAGAUCUUGACUUCAAUUAUUAAUAUCACCUUUAAUCUCAUCAUCGGUUGAAAUCAAUCACCUAACUUUUACCUUUGCGCCCGAAAUGAAGGAGAAAAAGAAAUGCAAAAACGCAACACAAAUAAACAAACCACUGCCGACAUUUCUGCCAUCAAAAAGCACACAAGCAUAAAUUUCAAAAGAAUAUUGUUCAUUUUCCAUUUCUGCAAUAUAAAUUAAGAUUAAAAAAACAAAUAAACACGUAUUUAUAAGUGCCUUUCGAUUAUGGCACAUAAUGGAAUGAUGUCACGUUAGAACUUAGAAGUUAUAAUAAACUUUGGUUUAUUAAUAAAAAUAGCAUUGUUUUAAAAAAUUUAUGCCUAACCCUACCUAGGUUCUGCGUAUGCACUAGAUGGCUGUCAUCGUUCCUAUUAAUCUCUAGGUGUUUGAAAAUUAAGGAAAUGCGCAUAGACCUGCUUAAGCGUUGCCUAGCCAACCCAAACUCGCCUAGGUUGCAACCAUUACUUAGAUAGAAAAUAGAUAACUUUCAUUUUGUAUUUUAUUUUCAUCAAAAAUUGUAGAAGACUUAUGAACACACAAAAAUUGUAGAAGACUUAUGAACACACACUAUAUGCUUGUUCUCCAUAUUUUCAUUAUAUUCUAAUACGUUAUAAUCUAUAUGUCAUUCUAUUUUGUAAUUUAGGCAUCACAAUGCAAUUAUUUAUUUUUAAGCAUAAGUACGCACUUAUUUAUACAAUAUAUAACAAAUUUACUUAAAUCUGCUUAGUCUGCUUAGGUUCCGUCUAGUUACGUAGGCUCUACGGGCCUACUACCCGACUAAUGCCUAAUGUCUUUUAGAAUUUUAUAAAAUAGUCAUUAAACCUGAUCCCUAACAAUAAAAUCAAUAAAAAAAUUUUUAAAUUCAUCUACAGUAUAUAUUUCGAUUUUUAUAUAAAAAAAUCUGUCCAUAUUUCCAAGUAACGACAUAGUUAUCGACAAUCAAUAAUCGAACAAAGCUCACUGAUUAAACAGUGUGAAUAUAAAUCCAUUUUCAAUUUUUCACACAGAAAGUUGGUAAAAUUAGAGAUGGCCGCCAGCUUUUCAAAAUCCAAAUUAAGUUGGGCCCCAGUCCCAAACCACUUCCCAAUGCUCUUCAAUCUUUACGUCACCAACCCUCUCUCUCUCUCUCUCUCUAGAUAUGUUGCUAAAUAAAGUCCAUCUCCCACUUUCACUUCCCACUCAUCUCUGAGCAGCUCAGCCCUCUGCUUUCUGCAAAAAUGGCUCAGAAGACGUUUUUCUACUUCGCCAUUUUCUCAGCAUUCUUCACACUCACUUCACUCUCCCGCACCCUACCCGAAUCCGAAACCGCCACCUUCCUCGACGUCUCCUCCUCCCUCCGCAAAGCCCACGCUGUCCUCUCCUUCGAUCCGGAGUCCCUCCAACCGCUGGAAUCCCAAUCCCAGGAAUCCCAACCCCUCAACUCCUCCGCCUUCUCCCUCCAGCUCCACCCCCCGCGACGUCCUCUUCAAUUCCCAGCACAAGGACUACAAAUCCC
rnacentral:lncRNA from 1 species